AAAUUAUUACUAAGAAGUAAAUUACAAAAAAAUUUGAAAAAUUAAUAAUUAUUCAAUUAUUAUAACAAGUCAGAAGAGUUGUUAAAUACUUAUCUUUUGAUAAAUAAAAUUCAUUGAAAAAGAUGAAUCAAUGAAACGCCGGACACGCGAAUUUUAAUAUAGUGUAACAAUAAAUAUACAUACAAAAGCACAUGCAUAUUAUAAAUUAUAAAAUUUUAAAGCAAUAACAAAUGGUUCUUCGAAAUUGUCCGAUAAAAAAAUUUUUUAAAUUAUUCUUAAUAGAAAGUAGAUGAUCGAUAACAAUUUUAAUACUUUUUUACCGACUAAGCAAACGAAACGUUCUUCUUCACCUCUCCACCCGCUUUGAAGCAGGAAUCGAUAGAAGAAUGCGACGUAGCAUGAAGAAAAAAAGAAACAAGCCACGCAUUCCUCGAGAUAUAAACUUACUCAUUGAACGAUGUGAAAUCCAAUACUAAUGGAUUAAAAUUAUCUUCAUUUAAUGAUUGAAGACUAUAACUUCCCCAUAAAUUGAUACUUUUCUCAUCCAAUUUGAAUUUGUCAAUCUUCAAUUCUACAAAUUUUGCCCAAAAUGUACAAUCUGUAGUAGAUCUGAGUUUUGUAAAUUUUACAAAUUCCGACAUUUUUAAUUUCUGAA